rnacentral:pre_miRNA from 12 species
GAUUUAACCACAGUCUCCCAGCCCAAGGUGCAGUGCUGCAUCUCUGGUCAGUUGUGAGUCUGAGAUGAAGCACUGUAGCUCGGGAAGGGGGAAACAUGCAGCCACU